ACCAUUUUGGCGGAGAUACGUGUAAGGUUUAGGACUUUAAAAGGGCUUUAUGCCAAAUGGUG
rnacentral:tRNA from 1 species